GUUAGUGGCGGACGGGUGAGUAACGCGUGAGAAUCCGCCCUCAGGAGGGGGACAACAGCUGGAAACGGCUGCUAAUACCCCAUAUACCGCGAGGUGAAAUGAAUUUCGCCUGAGGAUGAGCUCGCGUCUGAUUAGCUAGUUGGUGUAGGUAAUGGCUCACCAAGGCAUCGAUCAGUAGCUGGUCUGAGAGGAUGAUCAGCCACACUGGGACUGAGACACGGCCCAGACUCCUACGGGAGGCAGCAGUGGGGAAUUUUCCGCAAUGGGCGAAAGCCUGACGGAGCAACGCCGCGUGAGGGAUGAAGGCCUCUGGGCUGUAAACCUCUUUUAUCAAGGAAGAAGAUCUGACGGUACUUGAUGAAUAAGCCACGGCCAAUUCCGUGCCAGCAGCCGCGGUAAUACGGGAGUGGCAAGCGUUAUCCGGAAUUAUUGGGCGUAAAGCGUCCGCAGGCGGCCCUUCAAGUCUGCUGUUAAAAAGUGGGGCUUAACUCCAUCAUGGCAGUGGAAACUGUUGGGCUUGAGUGUGGUAGGGGCAGAGGGAAUUCCCGGUGUAGCGGUGA
rnacentral:rRNA from 1 species